rnacentral:lncRNA from 1 species
CACUCCCACUCGCAGUCCCAGUCGCACUCGCACUCGUGGGGCGAGGCGCGCACGCCGGAGUCGGAGAUCGUCGACAACGACCCGUCGCUGUUCCAGCAGGCGGCGGCGUUCCAGGCCCAGAGCCCCGCCGCCGCGGCGGCGCACCAGGAGAUGAUGGCCACGCUGAUGGUGCCCAAGAAGGAGGCGGCGGAGGAGGCCGGCAGGAACGACCUGUUCGUGGACCUCAGCUACGAUGACAUCCAGAGCAUGUACAACGGCCUCGACAUGAUGCCGCCCGGGGACGACCUGCUCUACUCCUCCCUCUUCGCCUCGCCCCGUCUCCGGGGGAGCCAGCCCGGCGCCGGCGGCAUGCCGGCCCCGUUCUAAGCAGAGCCGAGACAGAGACCGUCAGAGACAGAGAUCGACAGAAGCGGAACGGAUGACUUCUUCGCCGCGAGCAAGAUCGCUCGCGGACCAGUGUAAAUACAGCAUAGGAAACGGGAGGGAGGAUGCGUCGUCGUGUCUGAGAGAGCCGGCGUGGCGCGGUCGCCGGCGCCGGGGCGUGCCGCUGUACAUGGAGAGCCCGGUGCUGGGGCCUGGCCGGCUGGGUUGAUUCUUUUGUUCUUACUACUACUUUGUACUCUCAAUGCGGAUGUAGCUCUUUCUUCUCACUCCUCGGUAGUAGAAUCGACCGACCAAAUACAUAUGUAGCUCUGUUCCUUCCUUCUCUUCAGUAGAAAUCAACCAAAUUUUUCUGUUAUGCUGCUAUACUUCUCUGAUGUCGGGCAGGAUGAAUUGCCUCAAUUUUCAGUCAGUCUGAUCUACUGAUCUGCCUGUGUUGUGUUUGCCUGCCUGCUUGGACACACCAAGCACACUCCGGUUCUGCAGGUAGCUCUAUGUAGCUCGAGCUCCAGAACGAAUUUCUGAUAGUAUUGGUUCCUGUAAAAUG